CCGCACUUAAAACCGCACCGC
rnacentral:siRNA from 1 species